AUGUCUGGUACCUGGCUCCUCCUCCCUAACGCUUUACCUACCACUGGUGGUGUAGCAUGUACUCCUGCCACGUCACGGAGUACCUUGGCGCACUGGUCCCCUGCCACGCCACGUUUCUCAUACGUUCGCUACUCGCCGGGAUUCGCCGGGGUCGCCGUCUUCUCCGUGCGCCACGCUGACAGGAAGCUGGUCGCCGAGUUCCCGGGGAUUCGCCGCGCACCCAGGUACUCCGCCGCCUCCCCAGUAGCUGUCCGAGCGGCGGACCGCGACGCGCACGCGAGUGUCCAAUGGCUCCGGUGGUCCGAUGAGCGUGGCUGCCGGCCAUGGCCGUGGUCGUGUGCCACUGCCUCUCCCGCUGGAAGCACGGAGGCUCGCGGCCAAGAUCCGGGGAGAAGGAGCUCCGUGACGGCGAGCUCCUCUAGGAGCAAGGCGACCACGUACUCCAAGAGCACGACGACGACAAGCUUUGAGGCUCCUUAUGGCAACCUUAACGAGGAGGAGGGUGGCAGCUGGAUGAGGAUUAAAAUCACGCUGGAGUCACCGUGCUGUCCUCUGACUACACAGCCGGCGCCCCAUGAUCUUCAGGACGGCGGCGGCGCGGCGGCUGGACCUCCCUACCAGCCUGCCCGGCCAAACUCCACAAGCUGCAGCUCACGUAAACAAGUGGUCAUGUAUCUGGAGGAACGAGGAAGACGGACAGGAGGAGUUUGGUGCCAAUUCUACAGGCGUAGAGGAUUUUCCUUUGGACUAUUAUCAGGGCUGUUUGUAACCCUCCCAGCCCUGACGUGGUCUCUCCCUUACCCAUGUUGCAGCGACUGUGCUGUAGGCUAUAGCAUUGCCGCCGGUGUUGAACUUGACGGGUAUGUGCUGCUCACUGGCAAGUUGAGCGCACGGGGCAGGUUCGUGGUGUCCGGGGACCUCCUCGUCGACAGCACAGGAGGGUGGUGCUCGAGGAAUCGCGCAAGUUUCUUUUCACAAACCAUGUGCUCAAGAUGGAGGACGGCAUUGUUUCAUACCUCAUCGUUUUAUGCGAGCAUUGGAUUGAACUUUCAGGGCAUGAACUCUGAAGCUGUUCAUGAGCUUCCUCCACCAAUUAGACCGAUGCUAUGGAGUUCUAGCGACGCAUUAUACAAGGAGCUAUGGCAUGUUUGGGCUAGGCCGUUGAUCACAGUGCCUCGCCAAGGUGAAAGGAUUUACUACUUUCCGCAUGUUUAUAUUGGAACAGGGUACCACCUUACAUACAGUGCUUCCAGCCUUACAGGCCUCACCAGAAGGCCCUUUGCCAAGCUUCACUGUGACGACUAA
rnacentral:rRNA from 1 species